CGGCAAAUAUAUUAUAAUAUAGUCUUUCUAUUCUUAUUUUUAAUUCUUUACGUUUUUCAGAAAUAAUUUGUUUUAGUUAUUUGUAUUUUUGUACUUUAUUCAUUUAAACCAUAUUUAUAAUAUUUUGGUGGAUAUCUAAAUCUGAUUUUAUCAUAAUUAGGUGGUAUGUGUCUCAUUCUUCUAGAUUUUAAAUGGAUUAUUAAUUUUGUUUUAAUACU
rnacentral:lncRNA from 1 species